rnacentral:rRNA from 1 species
GCAAGUCGAACGGAGUUCUUGAGGAAUGCGGCUUCGGCCAAAUGACUUUUGAACUUAGUGGCGGACGGGGGAGUAAAGCGUGAGCAACCUGCCUUUCAGAGGGGGUUAACAUUUGGACACAGAUGCUAAUACCGCAUAAGAUUACAGUACCGCAUGAUACAGUGAUCAAAGGAGCAAUCCGCUGAAAGAUGGGCUCGCGGCCGAUUAGUUAGUUGGUGAGGUAACGGCUCACCAAGUCGACGAUCGGUAGCCGGACUGAGAGGUUGAAC